GAUGAACGCUGGCGGCGUGCCUAAUACAUGCAAGUCGAGCGAACGCACGAGAAGUUUGCUCCUCUGAUUUUGUCGCCGGACGGGUGCUUCCCACGUGGACAACCUACCUAUACGACUGGGAUACUUACGGGAAACCGUAGCUACUACCCGAUAAUAUUUUGAACUGCAUGGUUCACACGUUAAAGUCGGUCUUGCUGUCACUUAUAGAUGGCUCCGCGCUUCAUUAGCUAGUUGGUUAGGGAACGGCUUACCAAGGCUACGAUGCAUAGCCGACCUGAGAGGGAGAUCGGCCACACUGGAUGUGAGAAACGGCCCAGACUCCUACGGUGGGCAGCAGUAGGGAAUCUUCCGCGAUGGGCGAGAGCCUGACGGAGCAACGCCGCGUGAGUGAUGAAGGACUUCGGAUCGUAGAGCGAUGUAAGUAGUGAAGAACAAAAGUGUAAUUAACUGUACACAUCUUGACAGUACCGAGACAGAAAGCCACGGCUAACUACGUG
rnacentral:rRNA from 1 species